GGGGGGAGGCCGGAUCCUGGGCUGUGUCCCGGGCGCCCUGUGCUCCGGGGCCUGCGCUGUUGGAUUCUCGCUCCGGCCGCACAGCAGCCU
rnacentral:pre_miRNA from 1 species